rnacentral:rRNA from 1 species
UACGGAGGAUCCGAGCGUUAUCCGGAUUUAUUGGGUUUAAAGGGUGCGUAGGUGGAUUGGUAAGUCAGUGGUGAAAGUUUGCAGCUUAACUGUAAAAUUGCCGUUGAAACUGCCGGUCUUGAGUGCAAAUGAGGUAGGCGGAAUGCGCCGUGUAGCGGUGAAAUGCUUAGAUAUGACGCAGAACUCCGAUUGCGAAGGCAGCUUACUGGGAUGCAACUGACGCUGAGGCACGAAAGUGUGGGGAUCAAACAGGAUUAGAUA